UUAACCGAAUAGCCGCGGUUAUGAUUUCAUACGUAGUACCGCCCACCGCGGAACCAAAAUCUAAUUAAUUUUAAAUUACUUUCAUUAUCAGCUCCUAGCAAAGAAAGAUGCGUAGCUAAGAAGCAGUAGCAGUUUUCUGCAGGCAACUUUGUUGCAAACUAGUCUAGAAUAGCUACUCUGCCAGGAUCUCUAAGUUUUGAACGGAGGAGUAUACCAGCCAAGGCCCCAGCGAAGGAUCAUUUCACAACAUUUGCCUCUAGCAAAGAAAGAUGCAUAACUUGGAAACAGUGACAGUUUUCUUUAUUCAACUUCUUAGCAAAGUAGUCUACAGUAGUUACUGUGUCAGGAUCUCCUGGUUUCCAACGAAACAGUCAACCAGCCAAGGCCCAGAGCAAGGGAUCACUUCAGAGUGUGGCAAAGAAAGAUGCACCCCUUAGUAACAGUAACAGUUCUCUUCAAGCUACCUUGUAGUUCUAUCUGAACAGUCGAAGAGUCAACCAGCCAAGGACAGAGCGAGAGAUUACUUUAGAGGUCUGUGAAACAAUCGUCACUGCUAUCUGCCAUGGAACCACCACCACCAUCUUAUGGGUCCGAGAAGUCCUACUCACUGUCACUACUAUCCAAGAUACCCAGGAUACCUCAUCCCCUGUGUACAGAGGCCUCUUUGUUAUUGUUGUACCAUAGAAUUAAUUGUAAUUGUAUUUAUUAUAAUGUAUGUUCACUUUUGAGAUUGAUAUUGAAUUUAUAUAAAUACAAAUUUCACACGAAAUUUUAAGCAAAUUUU